rnacentral:rRNA from 1 species
AUUAGAGUUUGAUCCUGGCUCAGAUUGAACGCUGGCGGCAUGCCUAACACAUGCAAGUCGAACGGCAGCGCGGGUGGCAACACCUGGCGGCGAGUGGCGGACGGGUGAGUAACGCGUGGGAAUCUGCCCUGUAGUGGGGGACUACCUGGGGAAACCCAGGCUAAUACCGCAUACGCUCUACGGAGGAAAACGGGGGAUCUUCGGACCUCGUGCUAUAGGAUGAGCCCACGUUAGAUUAGCUAGUUGGUAGGGUAAUGGCCUACCAAGGCAACGAUCUAUAGCUGGUCUGAGAGGACGACCAGCCACACUGGGACUGAGACACGGCCCAGACUCCUACGGGAGGCAGCAGUGGGGAAUAUUGGACAAUGGGGGAAACCCUGAUCCAGCGAUGCCGCGUGUGUGAAGAAGGCCUGCGGGUUGUAAAGCACUUUCAGUGGGGACGAUGGGCGGAACGGUUAAUACCCGUUUCGUUUGACUUAACCCAAAGAAGAAGCACCGGCUAAUUCCGUGCCAGCAGCCGCGGUAAUACGGAAGGUGCGAGCGUUAAUCGGAAUUACUGGGCGUAAAGCGCACGUAGGUGGUUUUAUAAGUCGGAUGUGAAAGCCCCGGGCUUAACCUGGGAAUUGCAUCCGAGACUGUCUGACUUGAGUAUGCUAGAGGGAAGUGGAAUUCCAGGUGUAGCGGUGAAAUGCGUAGAUAUCUGGAGGAACACCAAUGGCGAAGGCAACUUCCUGGGGCAAUACUGACACUGAUGUGCGAAAGCGUGGGGAGCAAACAGGAUUAGAUACCCUGGUAGUCCACGCCGUAAACGAUGAGAACUAGUCGUCGGGAGGGUCAGCCAUCCGGUGACGUAGCUAACGCGUUAAGUUCUCCGCCUGGGGAGUACGGCCGCAAGGUUGAGACUCAAAGUAAUUGACGGGGGCCCGCACAAGCGGUGGAGCAUGUGGUUUAAUUCGAUGCAACGCGAAGAACCUUACCUGGCCUUGACAUCCUCGGAACUUGGCAGAGAUGCCUUGGUGCCUUCGGGAACCGAGAGACAGGUGCUGCAUGGCUGUCGUCAGCUCGUGUCGUGAGAUGUUGGGUUAAGUCCCGCAACGAGCGCAACCCUUGUCCUUAGUUGCCAGCACGUAAUGGUGGGAACUCUAAGGAGACUGCCGGUGACAAACCGGAGGAAGGUGGGGAUGACGUCAAGUCAUCAUGGCCUUUAUGGCCAGGGCUACACACGUGCUACAAUGGUCGGUACAGAGGGUUGCUAAACCGUGAGGUGGAGCUAAUCCCAGAAAGCCGAUCCCAGUCCGGAUUGGAGUCUGCAACCCGACUCCAUGAAGUCGGAAUCGCUAGUAAUCGCGAAUCAGCCAUGUCGCGGUGAAUACGUUCCCGGGCCUUGUACACACCGCCCGUCACACCAUGGGAGUUGGUUGCACCAGAAGUAGAUAGUCUAACCGCAAGGAGGACGUUUACCACGGUGUGGUCAAUGACUGGGGUGAAGUCGUAACAAGGUAACCAAUC